rnacentral:rRNA from 1 species
UACGGAGGGCGCAAGCGUUGUCCGGAAUCACUGGGCGUAAAGGGCGCGUAGGCGGCCCGAUAAGGCUCGCGUGAAAGUCCGGGGCUCAACCCCGGAUCGGCGUGGGCGACUGUCAGGCUCGAGCACGGUAGGGGCAGACGGAAUUCCGGGUGUAGCGGUGGAAUGCGUAGAGAUCCGGAAGAACACCGGUGGCGAAGGCGGUCUGCUGGGCCGGAAGGGGGCAUAGCAAUAUGUCCCUGUGCUGACGCUGAGGCGCGACAGCGUGGGGAGCAAACAGG